rnacentral:rRNA from 1 species
AGAGUUUGAUCCUGGCUCAGAAUGAACGCUGGCGGCAUGGCUAAGACAUGCAAGUCGAACGGACAUAUUAAUUGGGUAACCGAGAGAUAUGUUAGUGGCGAAAGGGUGAGGAAUAGAUAGGUAACGUACCUCGGAUUUCGGAAAAGCGUCUCGAAAGGGGCGGUAAUACCGGAUGAUGUCAUCGGAUUAACUUCCGGUGAUCAAAGAUUUAUCGAUCUGAGAGCGGCCUAUCUCCUAUCAGCUAGUUGGUGAGGUAACGGCUCACCAAGGCGACGACGGGUAGCGGGACUGAGAGGUUGGCCCGCCACAUCGGGACUGAGACACUGCCCGGACCUCCACGGAGGGCUGCAGUAACGAAUAUUGGGCAAUGGGCGAAAGCCUGACCCAGCAAUGCCGCGUGCAGGAUGAAGCCCCUCGGGGUGUAAACUGCUUUCAGGGAUUAGAAAGCUUCGGUUGAUCAAUCCCAGAAGAAGUCACGGCUAACUUCGUGCCAGCAGCCGCGGUAAUACGAAGGUGGCAAGCGUUAUUCGAAAUCACUGGGCUUAAAGGGCGCGUAGGCGGGAACGAAAGUGUCUUGUGAAAUCCCCCGGCUUAACCGGGGAAUGGCUCGGCAAACUACGUUUCUUGAGGCAAGCAGGGGUGUGUGGAACUCUUAGUGGAGCGGUGGAAUGCGUAGAUAUUAAGAGGAACGCCGAAGGUGAAAACAGCACACUGGGCUUGUACUGACGCUGAGGCGCGAAAGCGUGGGGAGCAAACAGGAUUAGAUACCCUGGUAGUCCACGCUGUAAACGAUGUCAACUAGCCGUUGGGACACUUGAUGUCUUAGUGGCGCAGCUAACGCGAUAAGUUGACCGCCUGGGGAGUACGGUCGCAAGAUUAAAACUCAAAUGAAUUGACGGGGGCCCGCACAAGCGGUGGAGCAUGUGGUUUAAUUCGAUGCAACGCGAAGAACCUUACCUACUCUUGACAUCCAGAGAACUUUCCAGAGAUGGAUUGGUGCCUUCGGGAACUCUGACACAGGUGCUGCAUGGCUGUCGUCAGCUCGUGUCGUGAGAUGUUGGGUUAAGUCCCGCAACGAGCGCAACCCUUGUCCUUAGUUGCCAGCAUUGAGUUGGGCACUCUAAGGAGACUGCCGGUGUUAAACCGGAGGAAGGUGGGGAUGACGUCAAGUCCUCAUGGCCUUUAUGACCAGGGC